CUUGACGAGUUCAUCCAAGCACCAUGACGAACGAGCAUAGUUCCGUGAGAGAAUGACAAUCGCAGAUCUAGAAUCCUCAAUUGCAGCUAAAAGUUCGGGCCUAAUGGAUUUUCCUCUCUCAAGCUCUGCGUCGUCCCGAAAGCGCAAGUACUGUAGAUCACAUGUAUUGGCACGUGAUGCAUCGAUAACUCCCACAACCCGUAGUCGCCGGUUUCCUCACACGUGAGGACAUUUGUUUUGUUUUCACAAGUUGAUACUUGACAUCCCCAUCAACAUCACGAUUUCAAUUCGAAAUUGAAGCCUCAAUCAAGCAACGGAGCAAUUGAUAAGUCUGGUAUUGCCGAUUUUCGAAUCUGGUGAUCUCAUUCUCAAAUUUUUAGACAGAACCCGAACCGGACUGCCCGCGUUGUCCUUAUCGUUUUCUUGUUCCUUCUUUCACCGCGUCCUCGCUCUCUCUCAUUGCUUCUUUUCUCUGAGUGGCAAGGAGUCCUGGACAAUUCUUGAAACCUAAAUCAAGGCAAAAAUUGAUAUCAAGGACAACUCUGUAUCGUCAAAGGGUCUCCUCCAAUAUCAUUUGCUAGAGCCAUUUGGAAUUGAUAUCUGCUGGAAAUUGAUGUCUGUUUUGGGUUUGCCCAGGGUCCUCUAAAUAUCAUCACCAUCUAGGCCAGGUUUCUGCAGCUAAUAGGGAAUGAGAAACACUUUGCAUGAUUUAAUUUUUUGGGAAUUUACUUUGCUGCAUAAUGAGGUGUGUCUUUCUUUCUAUUGCAUCAUCUUUUUCGCAGUGUAUUAUUAUUUUCCUAGUUUGAGAUUUUCAAAUCUGAGAAAUUUAAUCAUCCUAAAAGUAGUUUGGCAAAUUUAUGAUGAAAUUGAGCAAAGUAGGAAAACUAAUAACCAUUUCUGUAAAGUUUACUCUCAAAACUCAAACUCUAAUGCAUGAGAUACCCAUCACUCAAGCACCAUUUAUCAGCACCAUGCAUGUGUUUAUUUAUAUAUGACUAGAAGGACAAUGAGUCCAUGUACAGAUCCGUGAGUACCAUAGGAGACAUCCAGCUGCACUAGUUGUUGAUGCCAAUGAGGAACAUGAAGCACUGCUCAAAGAAAAAGCCUCAAGUUGAGUUCAGUGGAGAGGUUGUAGCUGAGGGACGCGAUCUUAUUACAAAAGAAACUGCUGACAGGAUGUCUUUUCUGCUGAUUAAUUUGUCAGAACCAAUGAAACGGUGAACUCAAGUACCAUUUGAAAUUGCUAGUAAUAGCUGGUCAGCCAUACGGCAGUGAUAUUGUCCUCUUGGUUAAUGAAACUAGCUACUAUUUUGUGUCAACUAUUUUUAUCUUCUUUUAAAUUUUUAUGAAUGCUUUUGACAUAAUUGUCAAUUUAGGCAUAGACGAAAGCUUAUGAUGGGCUCAAGGAAUGCAAGUACAGCCUCUAGUCUGUCACCAAGCUGAUUUCUCUUUCUUUUAUUUCUUUUCUUUUUUUGGUCAUUAGAUAAGACCAAAAUGGUUUCUAAUUUUCUGUUUUGGUGUUAUAAAACAAUGUUUAGCAAAGUCAUCUUUGGUGCAAAAAAUGAUCUUUAUAUGAUGUAAAAAUAUAUUGAUAUGUGAUUGUUAUCAA